rnacentral:siRNA from 1 species
AAGGUGACGGUUCGGUCUAAG